rnacentral:rRNA from 1 species
GAUGAACGCUGGCGGCGUGCCUAAUACAUGCAAGUCGAGCGAACAGACGAGGAGCUUGCUCCUCUGACGUUAGCGGCGGACGGGUGAGUAACACGUGGAUAACCUACCUAUAAGACUGGGAUAACUUCGGGAAACCGGAGCUAAUACCGGAUAACAUGUUGAACCGCAUGGUUCAACAGUGAAAGACGGUUUUGCUGUCACUUAUAGAUGGAUCCGCGUCGCAUUAGCUAGUUGGUAAGGUAACGGCUUACCAAGGCAACGAUGCGUAGCCGACCUGAGAGGGUGAUCGGCCACACUGGAACUGAGACACGGUCCAGACUCCUACGGGAGGCAGCAGUAGGGAAUCUUCCGCAAUGGGCGAAAGCCUGACGGAGCAACGCCGCGUGAGUGAAGAAGGUCUUCGGAUCGUAAAACUCUAUUAUUAGGGAAGAACAAAUGUGUAAGUAACUAUGCACGUCUUGACGGUACCUAAUCAGAAAGCCACGGCUAACUACGUG